CCUACGGGUGGCAGCAGUGGGGAAUAUUGGACAAUGGGGGCAACCCUGAUCCAGCCAUGUCGCGUGUGUGAAGAAGGCCCUCGGGUUGUAAAGCACUUUCAGUGAGGAAGAACGCCUGGUGGUUAAUACCCAUCAGGAAAGACAUCACUCACAGAAGAAGCACCGGCUAACUCCGUGCCAGCAGCCGCGGUAAUACGGAGGGUGCGAGCGUUAAUCGGAAUUACUGGGCGUAAAGCGCGCGUAGGUGGCUUGAUAAGCCGGUUGUGAAAGCCCCGGGCUCAACCUGGGAACGGCAUCCGGAACUGUCAAGCUAGAGUGCAGGAGAGGAAGGUAGAAUUCCCGGUGUAGCGGUGAAAUGCGUAGAGAUCGGGAGGAAUACCAGUGGCGAAGGCGGCCUUCUGGACUGACACUGACACUGAGGUGCGAAAGCGUGGGUAGCAAACAGGAUUAGAUACCCGAGUAGUC
rnacentral:rRNA from 1 species